rnacentral:rRNA from 1 species
UACGUAGGGUGCGAGCGUUGUCCGGAAUUAUUGGGCGUAAAGAGCUCGUAGGCGGCUUGUCACGUCGGUUGUGAAAGCCCGGGGCUUAACCCCGGGUCUGCAGUCGAUACGGGCAGGCUAGAGUUCGGUAGGGGAGAUCGGAAUUCCUGGUGUAGCGGUGAAAUGCGCAGAUAUCAGGAGGAAUACCGAUGGCGAAGGCAGGUCUCUGGGCUAUAACUGACGCUCAUGCACGAAAGCGUGGGGAGCAAACAGG